UACGGGGGGGGCAAGCGUUGUUCGGAAUUACUGGGCGUAAAGGGCUCGUAGGCGGCCAACUAAGUCAGACGUGAAAUCCCUCGGCUUAACCGGGGAACUGCGUCUGAUACUGGAUGGCUAGAGGUUGGGAGAGGGAUGCGGAAUUCCAAGUGUAGCGGUGAAAUGCGUAGAUAUCUGGAGGAACACCGGUGGCGAAGGCGGCAUCCUGGACCAAUACUGACGCUGAGGAGCGAAAGCCAGGGGAGCAAACGGG
rnacentral:rRNA from 1 species